ACACGUCAUCCUCCAGGACUGCUUUCGUGGUGAGCGUGGCGCGGGACCACCUCGAGAAGACCCGGGCUGCAAGCCCAGAAAAAUUCCUCCUGCUGCUUUUGCUCCAAGGCCCAGGGCUGGUGCUAUAAGAAACCUGCCUUUGUUAAGUAACAGCAGCUUUCUCAGUUUGGGUUCAUCAGGGGCAUCCAUGAGAUGCCUGUGCAACUUGCACUGGCCGGGAGAGUCUGAACCCCCACAGCGGGCUGGUAGAGAACCCCAUCCAAAGCAAAGAAAGGGAUGGUGUAUGGAGGCCGUGGUGGCCUGGCCCUCCGUCAGGUGCAGUGUCCGUCAGGGAUUUCAAGAGGCCGUAAAUAGCUUAGAGACACUCUCAUCCCAGGAAAGCCUUAGAGGGCCCCCAGGGAACCCCAGAUUGGGAAUCACUGGGCUAAGCCAGUUGGGAUGUGGAUGGUGCGUUACGCUCUGACAAUGCCCGCAGCCACGCCUAUUUCCCCAUCAAGGAAGGUCCCCUGACUCUGCCAUUUACCGGCUGUGUGAUCUUGGGUGGAUGGCUUUCCCUCUCUGAACCUCUGAGUCCCAUGGCGUCCCCUCCUGGGUUGGAAGCACUCUGGAGGGGCUGGGUGUCUUUUUUUUUUUUUUUUUUUUCCUUUUUUGGCCACCCUGCAGCAUUCAGAGCUCCUGGACCAGGGAUCAGAUCUGAGCCACAGUUCUGACCUACACUGCAGCUGCGGCCACGCCAGGUCCUUAACCCACUGUGCCGGGUGGGGGAUGGUACCUGCGUCCCAGGGCUCCAGAGACGCCGCAUUCCUGUUGUGCCACAGCGGGAACUCCUGGCCCACCGCCACGGCAGUUUGGCCGUGUUUCCCAAAGAGGCUCUGAAGCUCUGAUGCCAGAGAUUCACAAAGACUCCUGAAAAACAGCUUCCUUGCCCACUUUUGCUUAAAUACGCCAAAGUGCACUGGGAAUCUUGGAGAAGACACUCAAGACCACGGCCUGCCUGUACCCUGCACACCAAGGUUUUCCAGGGCACAACCUGGGAUCAGUGUUCCAAGGAGCACACUUUGGGAACCCAGCCCACGACAGGUCCUCCAGACUAAAAAGUGAUGGCUACAGGGAUCCAGGCGUGUUUGCCUCCUGGAAAUGUGCAGAAAAAUCCGUGACCCGUCUGAACCCACGUGGAGAAAACUGGAGGAGGAGUGAACUCAGGAUGGAUGAAUAAUGCCAAAGAUAAACACGUAAUAAAUAGGUAAAAACCCUUCCGUGGCUCCUCACUCUCCUCGGAAGACAGUCCAAACUUGAGAGUGGCCCUGUGGCCUUUGGGGGCCAGGCACAGACCAAGCUCGCACACCGAGGGGCUCGUCACCUUCUCUCCCUUGGACACACAGACUGGACUGAAUGGUGCCAGCUUCUCCUCUUUAGAACCUCACAUCCUCUGCCUGGCACACUGUCUCCUCUUCUUGUUACUUGCUAAAUGUCACUUCCUCCAGGAAGCCCUCCCUGCCUAAUUGACUUUAGUUCAAACCCCGGGCUCCCGCUGCACUUCUUUGUAGCCCUCGUCAUUGUAAUGAUCUAAAAAAAA
rnacentral:lncRNA from 1 species